rfam:Metagenome sequence 3634299_fasta.screen.Contig2148, whole genome shotgun sequence.
GGGGGCGUAUUGGAUUCGACGCCGGUUACAAAACUUGAGGUGCAUGCCGAGAUGGUGACCAAUCUCGUUAAUCCAAAGUCGCAAACCUUAUAGUUGCCAACGACGACAACUACGCACUCGCUGCUUAUACACCAGUAGAGCGCCAUCUGACUGGAGCCGUGCUUAUGCGUCCAGCGCUUCAUCUGCCCCCGGGCCUCAAAACCCAGGGCAGCGGCGAAGCAUUCAGGUGUCAUAACUCAUAAGAUCGCGAUGACCCACGUCUGGGGGUGACUCGCUAAAACCUAAACCAGAAUCGCCAUUUCACAUGCCCUGCCGGCCGGGCAGUGAGAGGUUAAAUAUAAUAGACCGAACUAAGCAUGUAGAGCCGAUAGCAGCGGACUGACGGACGCGGGUUCAAUUCCCGCCGCCUCCACCA